AAAGUAAUUUAAAUAUGGAUUUCACUGUAGCAACUUUUUGGAGGGAGGGACUUAUUUGUAUUUUUUAAUCUUCUACUUUUAAAAAAAAUAUUAUUACAAAAAAAAAAAUCCCCUUUUCUCUUUCCUCUCUCCCCGAUGCCACCUCCUUUCCCCCCACUCCCUUCCUUUCCGCCGUAUGUCCCCUCCUUCCAGCCGGCCCAAACUCCUUCUUCUUCCCCCUCCCUUGCCGAUGUCACCUCCUUCUUUUUCUUUCUUGCUGCUGACGACAAGUUGGAGGAAGGAAAGCUCCUUCCUUGCUGCCAACGCAAGAACAGCCGCCUACCGUCACUCUUUUGCCAGUCCGACAUCAGAAUCGUCCUCCCCACUGUCGACAACCCUAAGCCAGCUCCUCCACGUUGUUUAUCCUCCACCGACAGCCUUGGGAGAAUCUCACCAGAACAACUCCCUUCUCAUAACAAUCUAGCCGUUUCCGGUAAGGGCUAGGCAGUGAUUUUAGUGUUUUUGAACUCCCCAACUCAAGCUUCGCGUAGCCAUCUACGAAUUUGAAAUCCGACCCUGUUGGAGGUGCUGGAUUUCGUACCCUGAUGUUUUAUGGCGCGCACAAUUUUAGAUUUCAACUGGAUGGUGAAAUAUCAAGAAUUGAGUGGAAUUCAGCUUAAAGACAUGUUUUAAAGUAUCACUUAUCAAAAAUCAAGUCUUUUGGAGGAAGAAUGAAAAUUUAUGCAGAAGGUCGUUCUCAAUAAGGCGUGACAAUGCCCUACAAUCUGUGAGCUGUUGAAAUCUGUUGAAGAAAAUUUUAAAUUUUUUAAGUUAAAUUCGUGGUGGAUACAUUUUUAUGUUAUUUUAUGCAGAAGGUCAUUCUCAAUAAGGCUUGACCACACCCUACAAUCUGUGAGCUGUUGAAAUCUGUUGAAGAGAAUUUUGAAUUUUUUAAGUUAAAUUCGUGGUGGAUA